AUGUUUGGCAAAUUUGUUGCUAAACUUUACUAAACCUUAGCUGCUAUAAAGUUUAGCAAGGUGCACCCUCUAAGGAAGUCUUUCAAGGACGAUGCAUAUACUAGCGAUAUUGCAAAAAUGCUGGAAGACAAUUCUAUGUCUAUCUCCUAUAUGGAGAUUGUGCACAUUCUAGAUUCAACAACGUAGCAUGUGCACAAACUCCAAAUAAGAGCUAGAAUGUCGACCGCAUGCCAGACAUUUUGAUCAAUAAUGGCUACAUGCUGCGAAGAACACUAGAAUGUUUUCGUGUAAAUGAAGAGUUAUCGGUGGUGCUUGGUUCCCCGCUGUAACUUACCACGCCUAACAUACGGCACGCCACCAAAUGCAGAGGCGCUGCUUGGUUUGUACCAAAACUGCAGCAGCCACAUGAUUUUGCAGUGUAAACUUCCGCCAACCUGUGGCGUGGAUUUUUGGCACCUAAGGUUAGGCGGCGCCGCACUUGCGGCUUGGCGAAACGAGGCUGGGAACCAAGCAAAUCAACACUGAAGAGUAAUCUCAUUGCCCAUUUUCUGUUUUCCUUGUUGGCAAUGGCCAAGGUGAGUUUCCCAAACUCACAGCCACACUCACACUCACAUGAACUGGAGGUAGAAGAAGGAGAUAGAGGAGCACAACUGGAGGUAGAAGAAGGAGAUAGAGGAGCACAGAGCGUCAGUUUCAAUUUGUGCUGCUGAACUGAUGAGCUGCAGCUGCUCUUCUACUCUUUAUAGAGUCUAAAGUCAAACUAGAGUACAUACUAGAGUGCUUCUACCAACUACCUACUACUUAGUACAAUACAAGACAGGGCAUGCUCUCCCUUCUACUCAUGGCAUUGCUGCCAUAUACAGCAGGUAGGAGCCAGUAGCAUGUCAGGAGCUCUACCAGCUCCAUUGACUUUGCAA
rnacentral:lncRNA from 1 species